GUCCUCCCAUGUCUCACCCCCUUUUCCCUCUGAUGAAACCUCCCACGCCGCUCCUUCUCUUUCCCCCAUCCCCGCCAGUCCGCCACCACGCGCAAAUCCCGCUGUCGCCCGUCGAUCCGGCGCGCAGUUCCACCCUCGUCUCUCUUCCUGGUCCAGCAACGUCACCCAGCCCCUUAGCUUUUCCUCCCGACGCGAAAAUGUCCUUUUGACUCCCGUCUCCGUCUUGUUGGCCCGCAGAUCUGGCAGCCCUCGGCCACGACACUGCGAGCUCUGGCCGGCUUGACCUCGUCGGCUCGUCGCCCCCAUUCAAUAGUGCUGGACGCCGCUCCUCGGGACCGCGGCGGUCUUCUUCAUGGGCUCUCUCUCCCUUCACCUCCUACGCCAUGUAUCGGCCCCUUCCUGAAGCUCCUCCUCAUCCGUGUGCCCCCCUGAUGUCGCCGAGUGGACCACGCCCACACCCGCCUCCGCCCGCCUGUACCAGGCCACAUCAGAUUCUGAAGGCGGCUCUGAAAGGGGGUGAGAUGAUGCUCGUCAAGACUAACCGAAAAGGAAUGGGAGACAGUACUGAAGAAUCGUGAUCUAUGGCAAGGGUGAUGAUGUAUAUGGCGAUGAUUGUUAUGAUCUAUUUGGCGACGAGCAUUAUGAUCCAUAUGGUGAUGAAGGGUGACGAGUCUAGUGAUCUUUCUUCAAGACGUUCAACAAAGUGAAAUCAUGGGGUUUUGGUCAAUCUAGCUUAUGCAUAAUGCUUGGACCAUUAUAUCUAAGUUUUUUUUUUGCAUUUUAAACUUUCUAGAUUGUUCAUCAUGAUCAAUGUAAUUCUGAUGCAACUCUUCUGAUAUUUUGAAAGUUGUGCUAUAUACAAUAUAUGUUACUUGGUGAUGUGUGGGCUGUGCAAUUCUGUGAUAUAUUUGAAA
rnacentral:rRNA from 1 species